rnacentral:lncRNA from 1 species
GGGGUGAAAAAUGGUUUAAACCCGUGAAAAAUUAUGCAGAAACGAUGACUGUUCGCUUAAGCGAGCCGGAAGCGAGCUGUAAGCGAACAGCUACUGUAAGUAGUUCGCUUAAGCGAAUACUCGUUCGCUUAAGCGAAGUGCCUUUUUACAGCAUUUCUUAUUUCGCGUUCUUGUGUCUUUUUCACACGUUUCUGUUUUGAAUUGG